UUUUAUUAUUAAUUUAGAUUUAUUGGUCUUUAUCUAAUUUAUUAAUAUACUAUAUUAAAUGUAAAUUUAUAGGUAAUUAUGAUUAAAUUAGUAUAAUAUAAUGUUACAUUAAUUGUGUUUUUAAGAUAAAAUUAAGGAAUUCGGCAAAUUUGUUUUCUGCCUGUUUAUUAAAAACAUGUCUUUUUGCAAUUAUUUGAAGUCGGGCCUGCCCUAUGAUUAUUUAAAUGGCCGCGGUAUUUUGACCGUGCAAAGGUAGCAUAAUAAUUAGUUUCUUAAUUAGAAGCUGGUAUGAAUGGUUUGACAAGAAAAUUUCUGUCUCUGUUUUAUUAUUAGAAUUUAACUUUUGAGUCAAAAGGCUUAAAUAUUUUUAAAAGACGAGAAGACCCUAUAGAAUUUUAUAUUUUAAUUUAAAUAAAAUUUUAUGGAUUAUUUAUUUUUAAUUAAGUUUAGUAUUUUGUUGGGGUGACGGAAAAACUAAAAUAACUUUUUCUUAUUUUGUUCAUUAAUUUAUGA
rnacentral:rRNA from 1 species